UUCACCUGGGAUCUUGUUAAAGUGCAGAUUCUGGUUCAGGAGGUCCGGAGCGGGGCCCGAGAUGCUGCCUUUCUAACAAGCCCCCAGGUGAUGCCAA
rnacentral:pre_miRNA from 1 species